rnacentral:rRNA from 1 species
UACGUAGGGGGCAAGCGUUGUCCGGAUUUAUUGGGCGUAAAGAGCGUGUAGGCGGCUUUACAGGUCCGUUGUGAAAACUCGAGGCUCAACCUCGAGACGCCGGUGGAAACCGUAAAGCUAGAGUCCGGAAGAGGAGAGUGGAAUUCCUGGUGUAGCGGUGAAAUGCGCAGAUAUCAGGAAGAACACUCGUGGCGAAGGCAGCUCGCUGGGACGGUACUGAGCUAAGGCGCGAAAGCGUGGGGAGCGAACAGG